rnacentral:tRNA from 2 species
GGAGAGGUGGCCGAGUGGACGAUGGCGCUUGCUUGGAAAGCAAGUAUACGGGUAACUGUAUCGGGGGUUCGAAUCCCUUCUUCUCCG